UGAGAAGAAGCCAGUUAGUAAAGAUGAGAAGAGAAGAGAAGAGUAAGGAUCAGAGUAGCGCAGUGGAAGCGUUGAGUUUCAGAGGAAAUUGGGUAUUGCUAGAGGUGUCUCCUAUUGGAAGAGUGUUCUUAGGAGAACCGGGAGUUUUGACUCUGGCAGUGCCGUGUAUCUCUUUUAGGAGAGAGGUUUUUAGGUUUUGCUUGCUUGAUCGCUUGAUUGUUUAUGUAUGAUUGAUGCUAUGUUUCAGAGGCCUGUUUGUUUGUGGAACAUUCGGGGACGAAUGUUCUUAAAGGGGGGAAGAAUGUAAUACCCGGCUAGAUUCCGG
rnacentral:lncRNA from 1 species